ACAAAUCAGAAGCAGCUACAGAGAAACAGAAGUUAGGGUACCCUCCCAUUGCGCCAUUUCACUGCAUGAAAGAGGAUGUUCUUGCUCAUGUGUUUGACAACGUGUGGAGCAAGGCUGUGGGCUGUAUGGAGCAGUUGACGCGUAGUCACUGGGAGGGAUGUGCUUCUGAGAAGAGGCCGAAUGAGAACACAGCAAGCAGGUGGCCAUCUGCAAGCCAGAAAGAAGCCAUAAGAGAGCCCAGCCCUGAUGGCAGCUUGAUCUUGGACCCCAGAACUGUGAGAAAAUAAGUGUCUAUUGUGUAUGCCACGCAGCCUGUGAUCUUGUUAAAGCAACCCUGAGAGACUAGUACACCACACAGCAGAACAUUAUUCAUCCAUAAAAAGGAAUUGAGUACCCAUCCAUUAUUACAACAUGGGUGAGCCUUGAAAAUCUACCAAAUGAAAGGAGACAGACAGUCACAUAUAUUAUUAAUGUAUUGUUUAAUUCAUGUAAGACAUUCAGAGCAGACAAAAGCACAGACAUAAAGUUGCAGGAGAUGGAAAAAGAAGGGGCUUGGCGUGAUGAGGGUUUCUAAAUGGCACUGAGUGCUAGGGAAACUGCCAUAACACACACUCACACACUCACACACACAUGCACGCACGCACCAUACACACACACACACCUCACCUGGGGCUGGAGAGGAGGCUCAGUGGUUAAGAGUAUUUGCUGUUCUUGCAAAGAGUUGAGAUCUUAGUGCCCACAUGGUAAGUGGUUCACAAUCAUUUGUAACUCCAGUUCCAGAGGAUCUUACGCCCUCUUCUGGCCUCCCUGUUUACUACAUGCAUGUGGUGCACAAACAUGUAGACACUCAAACAUAUAAAAAAAUUAAUAAAAUAUUUGAAAGACUAGUCUGAAUAUGUUCUUUAAUAUUAUUUGGGCACAGAUCUGCUAGUUUUUCUUUUUGUAUUUAAAUUUCCUCUAGUCUAUCAACAGUUUACCUCCUAGUACUUUAAAGAUACUGUCUAUGGCCUUCUGCUUUGCAUUACUUCUAACAAGACACCUGAUGUCAUCUGUCCCUAUAUAUCUGCCAAGACUUGGGUUGGAGGGCACACAUCACCACACUCAGCCUUUGGUCACUUGCAAUAUUUUCUCCUUAUUGCUAGUGUCAAGAAGUUUGAUGAUGUACUGUGAUGUAGUUUUCUUUCUGUUUCUUCUGGGUGGAAGUGGCUGGAUUUCCUGUUUCUGUACAUCCAAGACGCUUUCAUUGACAUUUUCAGCUAUUAUUUCUUUAUGUUUUUCCUUUUUCUAAUCGUCUGUCAUGACUUGGGGCACUUAGAAGUGGAUCUGUCUCAUUACAGAGCCCUCAAAUAAUUUAGGCCAUCCUCUCUGAAGCUCAUGCUGCCCUGGGUAUGUGUACCACUGUGCUUUUGUUGUGUCUGUCUGCCUGGAAUAGCCUCUGUCUCUCUCCUCCUCCCCCUUAAUGCCCAUACUCAAAUCUAUAUUAAUAAAAUUAUUUUUAAUAAACCCC
rnacentral:lncRNA from 1 species